AUAAAACUCAUUUCCAUAUCAAAAUAGUAGCUUCUCCCGAUAUCAGGCUGGUUUCACAAGCCACCUUAUCAACAAGAGGUUCUUAUGGACAUCAGCAGAGACCUGCUGUGAUUUUUCAGAACAUUAGACUUUUGUUCAAGGAAGGAGUGGAGAGUUCUCAGAGAACCUUGAUGGAGGAUGGAAAUCUGAUCAGCAUCCAUGGUGAAAGGAGAUCAUCAUCAACCGGAAACUCUUAAAGUGAUGCAAUCGGAGAAGGGAUGGAAAGUGACUGGACAAGAUGAGAAGAAAUAGAUGCAACAUAUGAAGAAUUCAUUUCAGUGGGAUAGGAACAGCCUGAAACAACGGGCCGACUGGGGCACCCUGUUUGCGGAUCCAGUAAUAAGAUAUGUGGGUUUCUCACGGUUGGGAGACCAUGAAGUCAAUCAUUAAAGAUCACAUAAGGAGAUGAGGGCCAUUAGCUGUCAAAAAUCUGAUGGACUGGAAAUGCUGUGAGGAAUGAAUUCAAGAUAACAUCUGAAUAAAAAUGAGAAGAGUAACAUUAUGAAAACAACAGAAUGGAACUUGUUGGUAAUUACAGAUGAGGACUAAGAAGAUGAGAUGCAUAGCCUUUCUUUAUAAAUAUUAACGUACAUGGUAAACAUAAAAUUAGCAAAAAUAUGUUCUCCAAAAAUUUGUUUAAUUGGUGUUCUCACUGGGCACUAUUCA